UGCCUGCAGGUUCCCUUUCCCAUUGGAUCUGAACACCAAUUUUGGUGGUUGGUUGGUUAUUAAAGGAGGAAAAGUAAAACUGAAGCUGCCCUCAUAGUGCAUGUAGUCUUAUCUAUAGCAUGUGGACUAGUUUCAAAUAAAA